CUUCCACUUUACAGGUGCUGGCAAAUAGCAUCCUUUGGCAGGUAGCAUUAAGUGUUGAUGGACCCAAAGGAAAACACAUGGAGAAAAUUAUGCCAGCCUGCCAAAAUCGCAGAAUAUGAACAUUAUAAAGAGCUGGGUCCUGCCACAGAAGCCAAAGCAACAGCAGCUGCACUGGGAGUGAAAGGGAGCUGCCAGAUGAGCUGUACUGAUGAGGAGAAAGUUAAGGAGAAAAACAGAGCAAUUCUUCUGUAGCAAAUAACUAGAAAGACC